rnacentral:lncRNA from 1 species
UCGAAUUUAGUGCAUUUUUAUAGUUAAACAUAAUUUCUAAAUAAUAUAAAUAGGAUAGACAUUUUCCAAUUUCAUUGCAUUUUCCCCUUUUCAUUUGUUUUUACCUUUUAUAAAAAAAAUCAAAAAGUUAUAUUUUUUUAAUUAUAUUUUAUUAAUUUUUCGUAUUUUUAAUUUAUGCAUUUUAAAAAAUUAUUAUUUUUCACUUUUUGUAUUACUUUUAGUAAAACAAAUGUCCAAAAGAGAUUUCUAAAAAAU